AGGGAUGUAGCUCAAAGGUAGAGCACUUGCUCAGCAUGCACAAAGCCUUGGGUUCAAUCACCAGCACCAUUA
rnacentral:tRNA from 1 species